CUUCUCACCAAAUUAUAUUGUUUUAGAAAAUAGUUAUUCUUCAUUAAAUCAUUAUUUAUGCUAAGAUGUCAUGGGUUUAUUAGUGUUUUUUUUAAAUGAAUUAACAAAUAAAUGCUUUAAAAAUUCAUCAGUUUUCAUUUCUAAGAUGGUAAACAUAUCCCCUAUAAAUAAAAACUGUGAAUCUUUAAUGGUAUUUAAGAGUGUGAAUGGGUCCCAAGAGCAAAAAGGUUUUAGAAAUGCUGCCCUAGACCUUUCUCAUUCCCUGGAAGGAACAUGCAGAUACAGUGAGAUGAUAAAUUUCCUGAUGAGAGAGACCAGUUUAUUCAUUGUUGCAUCUACUACAACACCUAGCAAGAUGCCUUGCAUGUUGUUAGUGCUCUGUGUAAACAUGAAGACAAAGCUCCCAGAACUCUGAAAUUUACCAGAUUCUCUUAUAUCUGGGUGUUACAUUAACAUUAUUGUUUGGUUUGUUUUAAGUCUUUGUUUUUUGCUAUGUAAUGUGUUCUAGUACUCUUUAUUAAAUAAUCUUAUUUUGACACAACUAUGAUGCCAUUUUCAUUACCCAGCAUCUUGUUUCUGUAGCGUACAACUUUUAGAUCUUAUUCAUCAGCCUGUUGAUGCUAUUUCUUUUUCAAAGACAUAGUUAGCAUCCCCCAAUUUUUUGAUACUCUUUUUUAACUAUCAUGGCUUGCUGUAUCAAAGCAGCUGACUGUUGUUUCCUUCAAGAAUUAACUCAUCUUUCUGCAUUUAAGAUACCCUGCAGGUGUUUCUUCUUUCCAAGGAGAAUGAGUUCUAUAUUGAUGUGACUGCAGGUCCCCCAUAGGGUUCCCCUGGGGCCCUUCACAAUAACUGUGUGUCUCUUCAGAGUGAUGUUGCCAUUUUCUGGAAUAUGUCGACAGUCUGAUUGUUGAGGAUAGUGUCCAUUCUUGCAGCAGAUGCAGCAAAGAGAGAUAUUACAUUUUUUACAAAUUGGAAGGUUUGUAACAACCCCACGUCAAGCAAGUCUAUUGGCACCAUUUUCCCAGCAGCAUUUUCUCACUUUGUGACUCUGUCAUAUUUUGUAUUCCACUGCAUGCAUAUACCACAAUUUGCUUAUCUGCUCACCUAUUGAUGGACAUUUUGGGAUCUUUCCAGUUUAUGGCAAUUACAAAUAAAGUCACUAUGAACAUUUGACUACAAAUAGUUGAAUGUAGGUAUGCUUUCUUUUCUUAUGAGUAAAUAACCGGGAGUAGAAUGGCUAGAUUAUAGGAUAGUGUGUGUUUAGCUUUGUAAGAAACUGCCAAACUGUCUUCCAAAGUGACCGUAUCAUUUUGCAUUCCCACCAGCAAUGAACUAGAGUUCCUGUUUUGUCACCAGUAUUUGAUGAUUUCAGUGCUUUGAAUUUCAGCCAUAGGUGUAUAGUGGUAUCUCAUUGUUUAAUUUGCAGUUCCCUAAUGACAUGAAGUUAAACAUCUUUUCAUAUAUUUAUCUGUCCUCUGUAUAUCUGCUUUUGUGAGGUGUCUAUUCAGAUCUUUUACCUAUUUUUAAAUCAGAUUAUUUUCAUACUGUUGAGUUUUAAGAGUCCCUUGACUAUUUUAGAUACAAGUCCUUUAUCCAAUAUGUGUUUUGCAGAUAUUCUUUCCCAGAUUGUGGUGUGUCUUUUCUUUCUUUUAAUAAGUGUCUUUUGCAGAGAAGUUUUUAACUAUAAUGAAGUCCAAGUUAACAUUUUUUUCUUUCAUGGAUAGUGCUUUUGGUGUUAUAUCAAAAAAUUCAUUGCCAAGCCCAAAGUCACCUAGAUCUCCUAUGUUAUAUUUUAGAAGUUUUAUAGUUUUGUGUUUUAUAUUUAGUCUAUCAUUCAUCUUGAGUUAAUAUUGUGAAGGGUGUAAAGUCUGUGUCUAGAUUCUUUUUUUUUUCAUGUGAAUGUCUAGUUUGUUCCAGUACCAUUUGUUGAAAAGUCUAUCCUACAUGAAAUUGCCUGUGCUCUUUUGUCAAAAUCCAGUUAACUAUAUUUAUGUGAGUCUAUUUCUGGGCUCUCUAUUCUGUUUCACUGGUGAAAUUAUCUAUUCUCUCACUGAUACCACACUGUCGUAUUACUGUAGCUUUAUAUUGUCUUGAAGCCUGAUAGUUUCAGUCCUCCAACUUUGUUUUUCUUAUUCAAUAUUAUGUUGGCAUUAUGGGUCUUUCUGCCUUUCCAUAUAAACUUUAGAAUUGAUUUGUGUAUAUUCAUAAAGUAACUUGCUGGGAAUUUGAUUGGAUCUAGAUCAAAUUGUGAAGAAUCAACAUCUUGACAAUAGUGAGUCUUCCUAUCUGUUACCAUGGAAUAUCUCUUCAUUUAUUUAGAUCUCCUUUGAAUUUUUUCAUCAGAGUUUCCUCAUAUAGAUCUUGUAUACACUCUGUACAAUGAUCUUGUUCAUUACCUAAGUGUUUCUCUCUCUCUUUUAUAAGCUUAUUUAUUUAUUUUGAGAGAGAGAGGGAGAGAGUGAGAGAGAGAGAGAGAGAGAGAGAGAGAGAGAGAGAGAAUCCCAAGCAGCGAUUUCACCAACAGUGAGAUCAUGACCUGAGCCAAAAUCAAAAGCUGGAUGCUUAACUGACUGAACCACCCAGGUGCCCCCACCCCCCUCACUUCUUUUGAUGCCAGUGUAAAAUGUUGCAUUUUAUUAAAAAAUUUUUUUUAGUGUUGUAUUUAUUUUUGAGAGUGAGAGACAUAGCGCAAGCAGGGGAGGGGCAGAGAGAGUGGGAGACACAGAAUCCAAAGCAAGCUCCAGGCUCUGAGCUGUCAGCACAGAGCCCAAGGUGGGGUUUGAACCCAUGGACCAUGAGGUCAUGACCUGAGCUGAAGUCGGAUGCUUAACUGACUGAGCCACCCAAGCACCCUAAAAUGUUGCAUUUUAAAUUUCAGAUUCCAGUUGUUCAUCACUGGAAUGUAAGGAAACAAUGGAUUUUUGUACAUUAACCUUAUAUCCUGUCUUCUUUUGGAUUGACUAUUUUUUUAUAAUUUCAUUUUACCUCCUUUGUUGCCUCAUUAGCUAUAAUUCUUUGUUUAGUUACUUUUCUGAUUUCUUUAGGACUUAUCUUUAACUUACCACAGUCUGUGUGAAACUUAGAGUGGCCUUACUCUAGUUGUCAUACAUUUUACUUACAUAUAAGUUACACAUUAAUUAUAAAUCCUACAAUACAGUUUUGUUUAAUCAAUUAUCUUACAAUAUAUUUAAAUAAUAAGAAAGAUAUCAUGUAUAUAUUUACCAGUAACUACCAUUUCCAUUGUUCUUUAUUCCUUUGUGUAGAUGCCAUCUACAAUUUCCAUCUGAUGUUAUUUAACUUUUGCCUGAAAGACUUAUUUUAUCUUUUAUUGUGCGUUAGGUCAGCUUUGAGUGUCUGAAGAGGUUUUUAUUUUACUUUUGUUUUUGAAAGAUAGUUUUUCUGAGAAUGAUUUCUGGUGAUAAAUUAUUUCAGCUUUGAGUGUCUGAAGAGGUUUUUAUUUUACUUCUGUUUUUGGAAGAUAGUUUUUCUGAGAAUAGAAUUCUGGGUUGACAGUUUUCUUUUUCAGUUUUUUAAAGUUGUUGCUCCACUAAAUUUUACUUUUGUUGUUUCCAACUAGAAACUGCACUCAUCUUUAUUUGUGUUUCUCUGUACAUAACACAUUUUCCUUUCUCAUGUUCCUUUCAAUUUUUUCUCUUUUCAUUGGUUUUGAGCAGCUUAAUUAUCAUGUACCUUCAUGUGAUUUUUUUCAUGUUUUUUUAUGCUUGGGGUUUGUUGAGCUUUUUUGGUAGGUGGAUUUAUAGUUUUCAUCAAAUUUGUAAAAAUGCUGGCCGUUAUUUUUUCAAAUAUUUUUUUCUUCUCUCGUUACCUCCUCUUCCUUGGGGACUCCUGUUAUAUAUAUAUUAAGUCACUUGAAGUUGCCCUAUAGCUCACUGAUGCUCUUUUUGUUUUUGUUAAAUUUUUUUCUGUGUUUCAUUUUGGAUAUUCUCUAUUGUUAUUCCUUCAAAUUCACUAAUAGUUAUUAUUUAUAUCUGUUGCUCCUAGUUCCUAUUGUGUUUUCUCGUUCUUCAUCGUAUAAUCAAAUUCCAUCCAGUGUAUUUGUUAUUUCAUACAUUGUAUUUUUUUAUCUCUAGAAGUUUGAUUUUGUUUUGUUUUGUUUUAGUAUCUGUAACUUAACUCUUAAAACGCAUGGCAUAUAGUUAUAGUAAUUAUUUAAUGUCCCUGUCUGCCCAUUCUAGCAUCUUUGUCAGUUCUGAGUCCAUUUCUAUGGACUUUUCUCCUCAUUAUGGUCUUAGUUUCCUGCUUCUUUGCAUGCCCGGUUAUCUGAUUGGAUACCAGACAUUGUGAAUUUUACCUUCUUGGGUGCUGUAUAUUUUUGUCUUCCUACAAAUCUUGAGCUUUGUUUUGAGAUGCAGUUAAAUCAGUUGGAAACAGUUUGAUCCUUUUGAAUCUUGCUUUUAAGAACAGUUUUGGUAACACCAGAACCAUUUAGUUUGAAACUAAUUAUUGUCCACUAUUAAGGCAAGACCCUUGUGGGUGGGUUCCCAGUGCUUCCUGAAUUAUAAAGUUUUCUCAGCUAGUUCAUGGGAAUAGCCCUGUGUGAAUGCCAGCUACUCUUCUCUAUACUCCUUUGAGAUCAUUCUCUCCCUUGCCUCAAGUGGUUUCCUCACAUGUCUGCACUAAUCAGCACUCUGCUGAAUAUUUGAGGGAGACUCUCCACAAUCUCUCUUGUGAACUCUGGUGCCUUGUUUUUUCCAGAUCCUCAGCUUCAUCUCCUUACUUCAGGGAGUCUGGACUUUACUUGGGUUCCCUCUCCCUGCACCAUGCCCUGGAAAUUCUUUCAAGGCAGCAAACUGGGGCAGUCCGUGGAGAGCUCUCCUUGUUUGUUUUCCAUUUCUCAGGGAUCACUGUCCUUUAGUGCUUGAUGUUCAGUGUCUUUAAAAAAAAGUUUGUCUCAUAUGUUUUGUCUUUUAAAAAGCUUUUUGGUUGUUUUAGGUGAUAAGGUAAAUUUGGUCCCUUUUACUCCAUCUUGGUCAGAAACAAAAGGGCUUCUUUUAAGUUUUCAAAGGUGGUUUUAGCAAUGACCGAUAGCAAAACAGGGAGUCUCUAAGUGAAAUAUCCAUGAUGUUUCAUCAUAAAUUGAAAGUUUGGAAGGAGAAUUAAUCUCAGAAUUACCCUUUAUCUAUUCUUCCUUCUACUCAGAUCCUUCACAAAUAUCUCCCUAAUGAAAUUCCUUUCAUACAUUAUUGACCACAUUGAUGGGUAGAUUAUUGAAUCUGGAAGGAAAAGAUGUACAAAAGUCACUAGAGUUGUAAGUUUCAUAGAAUCUAUUAUGUAAAAAGGAAAUGGUGCAAAGGGAACCAAGUUGGUAUCAUUGCACAGUAUUUUAAUUUCUUUUUAAACAUUUUUUAAAAUAUUUAUUCAUUUUUGAGGAGAGAGAGAGAGGGAAGCCAGGAAGGGCAGAGAGGGAGACAGAGAAUCCAAAGCAGCCUCUGAGCUGUCAGCACAAAGCCUGACACGGAGCUCAAACCCACAAACCGUGAGAUCAUGACCUGAGCUGAAGUUGGACACUCAACUGACUGAACCACCUGGGGACCCCAGUUUCUUGAUACCAGUAAAUAGUUGUGAUAUUUUUGUUUUUGCUUGUUUUGCUUUUUUUUUUCUUUUUUUGUGCUUCACUGGGAAGCCCAAGUGAUCUUUGGCAAGAAAAGAAGCAGGGAAAAAAUAUCAGAAAGUUAAAGAAAUGUGAUUAUCUCCUUCCUGUUCUUACAGCCCCUAUAAUGUCAGCCAAGUCAAUAAAUGCUUGCAAAAAUCCAGCUGGAAUGUGAUAAGGUAGUUGUUGCAACUGCUUUCUCCUUUUAUAGAUAGUUUAAAAAGUAGAAAAGUUCAGUGAAAAACAGCAGUUAGUAGAAUGCAACUGUGAAUCUAGUAGAAGUGUGAGUUUCAAAUUGACUAAAUCCUCAGAGUAGAUAGAGGCCCUUCUAAGUUUGACUAGCAACACACAAAGACCUGGAGUUCAUCUGCCCAGUUUAUGUGGUUAAUUAGCACUUAGAGUUUCCUCAAUAGGGGCGAGUGAAGUAAAAGCUAGAUAAUAUCUUAUAAGAUCUUUUUUUUUCUUUCUGUCUUGUACUUCUUGGAAGAGGGGCUUGGACUAU